rnacentral:rRNA from 1 species
GAGUAAUGCGUGACCAACCUGCCCCCAUGCUCCAGAAUAGCUCUUGGAAACGGGUGGUAAUGCUGGAUGCUCCAACUUGACGCAUGUCUUGUUGGGAAAGUGUUUAGUGGCAUGGGAUGGGGUCGCGUCCUAUCAGCUUGUAGGCGGGGUAAUGGCCCACCUAGGCUUCGACGGGUAGCCGGCCUGAGAGGGCGGACGGCCACAUUGGGACUGAGAUACGGCCCAGACUCCUACGGGAGGCAGCAGAU